CCUUUAGUCGAAAAUAGCGGAAACAGCGCGUCACGUCCAGUGCGCAUGCGUAUUACGCGCUUAGAAACAACGCAUGCGCACUGCGCGCUUUAAAUGAAGUCCGCGCGCACGCGGUGUCUCAGUCAGUCUGCAGUGCCGAGGCACCACGUGGGUCCAGCUGGCUUCACGGAAAGGAUAAUGCAGCCCGAGAGCCCUACUUCCGGCCCCACUUCCGGCUCAGGGGUCACGUGGUUACCCACCAGACUGGGAGGUGGGACUCAUUCCCCUUUUAUGUAGAAGACAGGAGUCCCAUUGGGAAAUUGUACGAUGAGCCAACAGCAGAGAGAAUUGGGUGAUACAAGGCUGCACAUCCACUUGUGCAGGUGGGAACUGUAACGCUUUGUUCCAUUAUGGGAAAAGGAGGCAUGCAUCGUCAUGGUCUCUGAGAACGUGUAUCACGAACCGGGGGUCCAGCACAUCUCCAGAUAGCUCCAGGACUUGGCUUUCUUUCUAAGGAUAUAAAUCUGCUCCUGAGGCCCGUUGGAUGAACGUGUUCAACACUUGGCUUUCCAAAGUUGUUAAACAAACCACAGCAUGAAGAAUCUGGAAUGGAUUCAUGGAUGCUCCUCACAUGGAGAUGCACAAAGGGCCAUCAUGGAUUGCUGUAGCUUUCAAGCUGACAAGCUGAUUGGUGCUGAAGUUGCAUUCAGAUUGAUGGGAGACAUUAGAGACUACGUUUACAUGCACAUCAAGUGUCCAAGUAGAGCAGGGAAGGCUGGCAUCAUGCUGUAGAUGUUCCUUAUUCUGUUCUUCAGGCCCUUCAGAUGGUGUAUGUUUCAGGUUUUUUGUUUCCAACACACCUGAACCAGGUAUAUGGUAUUUUUCUUGGAUUGGUUUGGGUGUGUCUGAAUGAAAAUGGCAGGAAUGUAGACUGUCUGUAGGGCUAUGAGGAUUAGAUUGGGGCAAAAACUUCUACAAAUGUGCAACAUGUAUUUGAACCAUGGAACUAUGUUUUGUAAAAAUAAAUAAACAAAUGCAGAUUUAAA